rnacentral:rRNA from 1 species
AGGACGAACGCUGGCGGCGUGCUUAACACAUGCAAGUCGAGCGGUAAGGCCUUUCGGGGUACACGAGCGGCGAACGGGUGAGUAACACGUGGGUGAUCUGCCCUGCACUCUGGGAUAAGCUUGGGAAACUGGGUCUAAUACCGGAUAUGACCACAGUGCGCAUGUGUUGGUGGUGGAAAGUAUUUAUCGGUGCGAGGAUGGGCCCGCGGCCUAUCAGUCUUGGUUGGUGGGUAAUGGCCUACCAAGGCGACGACGGGUA